UAAUACGUAUGGGGCAAGCGUUGUUCGGAUUCACUGGGCGUAAAGGGCUUGUAGGUGGCAGGAUAAGUCGGAUGUGAAAUCUCCGGGCUUAACCCGGAAACUGCGUUCGAAACUGUCCCGCUAGAGUACCGGAGAGGGAGACGGAAUUCCUGGUGUAGGGGUGAAAUCUGUAGAUAUCAGGAAGAACACCGGUGGCGAAGGCGGUCUCCUGGCCGGAUACUGACACUGAGGAGCGAAAGCUAGGGGAGCGAACAGGAUUAGAUACCCUGGUAGUCCUAGCUGUAAACGUUGUGCACUAGGUGUAAGUGGUAUCCAACCCACUUGUGCCGUAGCUAACGCAUUAAGUGCACCGCCUGGGGAGUAUGCUCGCAAGGGUG
rnacentral:rRNA from 1 species